UACGUAGGGGGCAAGCGUUGUCCGGAUUUAUUGGGCGUAAAGAGCGUGUAGGCGGCCAGGGAGGUCCGUUGUGAAAACUCGAGGCUCAACCUCGAGACGCCGAUGGAAACCCCCCGGCUAGAGUCCGGAAGAGGAGAGUGGAAUUCCUGGUGUAGAGGUGAAAUUCGUAGAUAUUGGGAAGAACACCAGUGGCGAAGGCGGCUAUCUGGACCGGAACUGACGCUGAGGCGCGAAAGCGUGGGGAGCAAACAGG
rnacentral:rRNA from 1 species